rnacentral:rRNA from 1 species
GACGAACGCUGGCGGCGUGCUUAACACAUGCAAGUCGAACGGAGUGGCGAACGGGUGAGUAACACGUGGGUGACCUGCCCUGCACUUCGGGAUAAGCCUGGGAAACUGGGUCUAAUACCGGAUAGUGUGGGAUGGGCCCGCGGCCUAUCAGCUUGUUGGUGGGGGAAUGGCCUACCAAGGCGGCGACGGGUCGCCGGCCUGAGAGGGUGAAAGGCCACAUUGGGACUGGGACACGGCCCAGACUCCUACGGGAGGCAGCAGUGGGGAAUAUUGCCCAAUGGGCGGAAGCCUGAUGCAGGGACGCCGCGUGGGUGAUGACGGUCUUCGGGUUGUAACCUCCUUUCACCAUCGACGCGGUAGCUGGAGAAGAAGCACCGGCUAACUACGUGCCAGCAGCCGCGGUAAUUC